AUUCUUCAAUGAAUAAAGGAAAGAAGGACUCCUUAUCAGCUCCAAUUAUUGCUUUAGCUGUGGUUUCAGUCAUUAUCUUGAUUGUUGCCAUGGUGAUCAUCAGAUGGAGAGCUAAGGGAAAGAAACCACAGGCUGAUGAAAAUGCUGU